AUGCCAGCACAGCCCCCUCCCCACCCUUCCAAAUUAUCCCUCCCAGCACAGAGCUGCUGCAACAUCCACAGCCCCAAGAGCCGGGCAGGUGCAUCCCGAGCAGCUCCUGGCUGCAGGAUGUGGGCAUGCAGAGGGAAAGGGAUGUUCCUUCCCCUUGCUGUGCUGAGUUGGGUUAACCCUGCCCCUUCCAGUCCCCACACAGCACUAGCUCUGUACCUCAGCACGGGAGGAUACUCAGACCAGAGACAAUGGGAUGGCAACAAGGACCACAGACCAGUGAUGGGGAGCAGAAAAAACCUCUGCAGCCAAGCAUGGUCUUUGCCAUCUAAAACCCCCUCAAAUCCCAUAAGGCUCCUCCAGGCUCAGCUGGGGCCAUCACAUCAUCCCACACCCCCACCUCCGGUUUUCCUGUCCAGUACCUUGCAGGUGUGGGCUCUCCGGCAGUGCUCGAGGCUGUGUGCCAGGGCUGGCUGUGCCCAUAGAGGAAGGUCUGGAACAGGCUCAGGGCCCAUUUUGGGGGUGGCCACACGGGACAGUCACUGCUGUUGCCUUCCAGGAAGGCAAUGGGUCUGCCCCAGCGGUUCAGGGAACAGCCCUUCCCUCCUGGCACCUCCCCGAGAAAACCCAUUCCUGGAAAGGAGCCCAGAGCUGGCUCUGCCUUCCCUGCAGCUCCGUGAGCACAGGGAGGGUGUACCUUUGUGUGGGGGAACAUCUUUCAGUUCAACCCCAUGCAAAGGGGAGACCCUCUUUGCUCACCCUACGGCAGAGGGGAGAACCAGGGACUUCCAAUCCAUUUUUCUGCCAUGCCUCUCCAUUGAUCUACUCUCCCAGUUAGAGGGAAUCCCUUUUCAUCCAUCCUCCUCCCACUCUGUGCUCCGGUGGGAACUCCUUGCUCCCUUACCCUUCUUUGUACAGGAUGGUCUUAGCCCUUCUCCCACCCCCAGUCACAUAGGCAGGGAGGAGGCCAUCAAACAUUUCCCCUCCCUGGGCCCCAGUCUCCUACCCCUCCAGAGCCUGCAGCGCCGACUCACUCACAUCACCUUAGAGGGGUGGCUGGGUGAAGUCUUCCUUCCCCACAGCCUCAUCCCACACAGUGUUCUGAAACUGCCCGCCCAGGGGAAGCUCCAUCCUGCCCUCCUCCUCCUCCCCAGUCCCUGCACGCUGCAGGGUCCCAGCCCCAUGGGAACAUCCCCACUGCCUGCCAGGGUGUGCUGCCAGCUGCCUCUCCACCCUGCCAAGGAACGCCUGAUUUCUCCUGAACAGGGAUCUGGGGAACAACCAAGAAAAUGA
rnacentral:lncRNA from 1 species